GAUGGACGGACACACACACACACGAACGAACGCACGAACAAACGUCAGUACGGAGCAGUCAGGCCGCCUGUGGACUUUUGUUUGCAUCAUUUGAUCGGACUUGAGAAUUAAGGAGAGACCCGCUGGCCAACGCAACGAGAGCCGGGCAACCAGAGUUCUGUGGUCGGGUUUGCUUGGAAUUGUUUAGAAAACUGUGUGUGUGUGUCUGUGCGCAAGUGUAUGAAUAAAAGUGUUACCUGUAAAACAAACUGCCGUGAAGGUGUUUGUGCUAUGGAACUCAUGGUGGCAAGCAGUCCUUGCUACACUGUGUAUUUUGCCAACCCAGGUGUCAGAACAGAGUCAAUCACAUAUGGAGCAAAAUGCUCACACUGGAGAGCAUUUCUGUCAUUAACUGUAUCAGUCUCAGUGGAACGCCGGCGUCCUGCUAUCAGUCAACAUGUCAAUAGUUCAAUUCCUUACAAGCACUUUGAGGUAUCAAGCUUGGUUGUAAACCCUCUGUACGUGUUGCUGUGGUGAUCUUAAUAACUCUUGCGCAGCAAGUUUGGUCGCACUCUACCCGCUCUGUUUUGUUCUGCUCCACUCCUCUUCUCUCCACUUCUCAAAACUGGACAGAUGAUGAAAAAACCUGAUAGGAAAAAACAGAAUUCGACAACUGAUGAAGCUCUCACCUUGUUUUUUGAUAAGUCUGAUGACGACAGUGUAGAAUCCGGAAUGGCGACGGACAUUUGAUUUUUCAAGUAAUUGCCAAGUGGAAGAUACCGACAGUUAUUCUGUCCUGGAAGAUGCCCCAUCAAAGGAUCUGAACAGCAUCUUCGAGCUCCAACACGCCUUCGUGCAGAACUUCCCACCACAGAACGUGUGCAGAGUGAAACAACUGGCUCAGCUCAGGGCCCUCUAUCUUCUGCCUCUACAGCUCCAUGGUCUCAGGGUCUCUCAUCUUCAAAUUUAGUUAUUUAUUGUUUAUAAUACUGUUGUGAGCCCAUAGUUAGUGCUGUUGCUAUUACUCAGAAAGAUUAGUAACAUUGUUUGACUUGAAGAAAAGCUGUAUCAAAGGUUUAUUUUAUUGUUUUCAAAAUUCACCUCAGUUCCACCAAAAACCUCACAAAUGUCACUGAUAAGUUGGAUUAAACUUUUGUAAGGAGCUAUUACAUUUGACAUAUCCAGAAUUCUAAUAAAUGAAUUUUGUACCUGGA